rnacentral:lncRNA from 1 species
GUUUAAAACUGAAGUUAUAUUUUAAUUUCUGGGUUAGUUACUUACAAAAGUAGCGACUAUCUAAUUUGGCAAGUGACAAAAUUAAAUAAAGAGACAAAGUAUUGAAAACUAUUAAUUUGGUAUUUGGUGGGCAUGUAUUUUUUAACAUUAUCCGUAUAAUUGAUUUUAAUUGGUAACAAGUUGAGUAGGUUAUUAAUGUUUAAAAGUCAAUCAUAUCCUUAAAAAAUAAACAGUUAUAUUUAAAUGAGCCGGUGUAUUAAAGCUUUUUUUAAAAAAAAAUUAAAGUAUAUAUUGAGAAG